rnacentral:tRNA from 1 species
CAGAUAGUAGUUUAAAAAAAAUUCUGACUUUGGAAGUCAAAGAUCGGUUAAUUCCGCUUUCUGA